GGCUUCCAAGAAAAUCUCGUCAUAUCGUAAGCAGUAGAUGCCUGUACCUUAAACCGACACAGGUAGGUAGGUAGAGUAUACCAAGGGGCGCGAGAUAACUCUCUCUAAGGAACUCGGCAAAAUAACCUCGUAACUUCGGAAGAAGAGGCACCCUUGAAAAAGGGUUGCAAUAACCAGACCCUGGCGACUGUUUACCAAAAACACAGGUCUCCGCUAAUUCGUAAGAUCAAGUAUGGAGGCUGACGCCUGCCCAGUGCCGGAAGGUUAAAGAAGUUGGUCAAUCUUUGGAUGAAGCUGGCGACUGAAGCCCCGGUGAACGGCGGCCGUAACAAUAACGGUCCUAAGGUAGCGAAGUUCCUUGUCGGGUAAGUUCCGACCCGCACGAAAGGCGUAACGAUCAGGGUGCUGUCUCGGAGAGAGACUCGGCGAAAUAGACAUGUCUGUGAAGAUGCGGACUACCUGCACCUGGACAGAAGGACCCUAUGAAGCUUUACUGUAUCUUGGAAUUGGGUUUGGGCCUUGCUUGCGCAGGAUAGGUGGGAGGCUAUGAAAAUAUUCUUGCGGGAAUGUUGGAGCCAACGGUGAGAUACCACUCUAGUAAGGCUAAAAUUCUAACUCUGAACCGUUAUCCGGUCAGAGAACAGUUUCAGGUGGGCAGUUUGACUGGGGCGGUCGCCUCCUAAAAGGUAACAGAGGCGCGCAAAGGUUCCCUCAGGCUGGUUGGACAUCAGUCGUAGAGUGUAAAGGCAUAAGGGAGCUUACUGCGAGACCCACAAGACGAGCAGAGACGAAAGUCGGCCUUAGUGAUCCGACGGUUCCACGUGGAAGGGCCGUCGCUCAACGGAUAAAAGUUACUCUAAGGAUAACAGGCUGAUCUCCCCCAAGAGUUCACAUCGACGGGGAGGUUUGGCACCUCGAUGUCGGCUCAUCGCAUCCUGGGGCGGUAGUACGUCCCAAGGGUUGGGCUGUUCGCCCAUGAAAGCGGUACGCGAGCUGGGUUCAGAACGUCGUGAGACAGUUCGGUCCAUAUCCGGUGCAGGCGUUAGAGCAUUGAAAGGAGUCCCCCUUAGUACGAGAGGACCGGGGGGAAUACACCGCUGGUGUACCAGUUAUCGUGCCAACGGUAAACGCUGGGUAGCCAUGUGCAGCGUGGAUAACUGCCGAAAGCAUCUAAGUAGGAAGCCCACCUUAAGAUGAGUGCUCUCACCGCUAUAAGCGGGUAAGGUCACGGUAAGAACAACCGUUAUAUAGGCAUUAAGUAUACGUGCAGUAAUGCAUUUAGCUAAGAUGUACUAACAGACCGAGGGC
rnacentral:rRNA from 1 species